rnacentral:lncRNA from 1 species
CCCUAUUCCAUCCCCUCCUUUCCAGCCCACCCUCCCCACACCCUCCGAGCCAUCGCAACCCACUUAUGCAACCAGCCUAAGUUGCUGGGGAGCGACGAAGACUCCACCGGUGCAGGAUGACGUUGUGGGGUUUGAGUUCGCUACGUCAGAGAUCAUCUUGCCCAUUUAAUGCCAUUCUUAACCUCCUUCCCUACCCAGAGAUCAUCUUGCCCAUAUUAAAACUGUUAGUGUAAUUCCUUUAUAUAACAUGAGCAUCAUCUUAUGUUGUUCCACUUUAAGGGAAUCUUUAUUUUCAGACUUCAUAAAAGAAUGGCACAUUUCCUUCUUAAAUUUCAACAAGAAAAAUGAAUGAUCCAAAUAUUACCAAACCUGAGAGAUAGAGAAUUUUCAAAAAGAACUUAAACUUCACUACAAACCGAUGCCAAGCUUCUUUCUGUGGGGAAGAUAGUGGAUGCGAGGGAGAACGAUCAGAUCUGUGGGAUUUGUGGUUUGGGGAAAAUGAUCAUCGUUUUGGGGAAAACAAUCAGAUCUGUGGCAUGGGGGAGGUGAUGGGUUGGGCUGGAACAAGAGAGAUUUUAAGGCUGGGAUAGGUGGCCUAAGUAAGCUUGGGUGGCUGGGG